AGGAGCGUCGCCAAGUGAUUAAGGCACGGGACUUUGACUCCCGCAUCGUGCGUUUGAAUCGCACCGCUUCUG
rnacentral:tRNA from 1 species